UACGGAGGGGGCUAGCGUUGUUCGGAAUUACUGGGCGUAAAGCGCAUGUAGGCGGCUUGUUAAGUCGGGGGUGAAAUCCCGGGGCUCAACCCCGGAAUGGCCUUCGAUACUGGCAAGCUAGAGUUCGAGAGAGGCAAGCGGAAUGGCGAGUGUAGAGGUGAAAUUCGUAGAUAUUCGCCGGAACACCAGUGGCGAAGGCGGCUUGCUGGCUCGAUACUGACGCUGAGAUGCGAAAGCGUGGGGAGCAAACAGG
rnacentral:rRNA from 1 species